GCUGGGCGUGGUGGUGUACACCUGUAAUCCCAGCAGCUGAGGAGGCUGAGGCAGGAGGUUCAUGAGUACAAAGCCAGCAUUAGCAAGGGUGAAGCACUAAGCAACUCAGUGAGACCCUGUCUCUA
rnacentral:sRNA from 1 species